CCCAGUGUGUUUCGACACACUAUCAUUAACUGAAUCCAUAGGUUAAUGAGGCGAACCGGGGGAACUGAAACAUCUAAGUACCCCGAGGAAAAGAAAUCAACCGAGAUUCCCCCAGUAGCGGCGAGCGAACGGGGAGGAGCCCAGAGCCUGAAUCAGUGUGUGUGUUAGUGGAAGCGUCUGGAAAGGCGCGCGAUACAGGGUGACAGCCCCGUACACAAAAAUGCACAUAUUGUGAGCUCGAUGAGUAGGGCGGGACACGUGGUAUCCUGUCUGAAUAUGGGGGGACCAUCCUCCAAGGCUAAAUACUCCUGACUGACCGAUAGUGAACCAGUACCGUGAGGGAAAGGCGAAAAGAACCCCGGCGAGGGGAGUGAAAAAGAACCUGAAACCGUGUACGUACAAGCAGUGGGAGCCUCUUUAUGGGGUGACUGCGUACCUUUUGUAUAAUGGGUCAGCGACUUAUAUUCUGUAGCAAGGUUAACCGAAUAGGGGAGCCGAAGGGAAACCGAGUCUUAACUGGGCGUUAAGUUGCAGGGUAUAGACCCGAAACCCGGUGAUCUAGCCAUGGGCAGGUUGAAGGUUGGGUAACACUAACUGGAGGACCGAACCGACUAAUGUUGAAAAAUUAGCGGAUGACUUGUGGCUGGGGGUGAAAGGCCAAUCAAACCGGGAGAUAGCUGGUUCUCCCCGAAAGCUAUUUAGGUAGCGCCUCGUGAAUUCAUCUCCGGGGGUAGAGCACUGUUUCGGCAAGGGGGUCAU
rnacentral:rRNA from 1 species